rnacentral:rRNA from 1 species
CCUACGGGGGGCAGCAGUGGGGGAUAUUGCACAAUGGGGGGAACCCUGAUGCAGCGACGCCGCGUGGGUGAAGGAGUAUUUCGGUAUGUAAAGCCCUGUCAGCAGGGAAGAAAAUGACGGUACCUGAAGAAGAAGCCCCGGCUAACUACGUGCCAGCAGCCGCGGUAAUACGUAGGGGGCAAGCGUUAUCCGGAUUUACUGGGUGUAAAGGGGGCGCAGACGGCGAUGCAAGCCAGGAGUGAAAGCCCGGGGCCCAACCCCGGGACUGCUCUUGGAACUGCGUGGCUAGAGUGCAGGAGGGGCAG